rnacentral:lncRNA from 1 species
CCAACUGAUUUUUCUUUCACAGUAUUAGAAUUGCUGUCAACCGAAAACUCGUGUCUGAAGAUAUUGAAAAGGUUUCUUCUGUUAUUAGGAAAGCUACCCAAGAAGUUUUAUUUUCUACAUAGGCUAUCCUUCUCGCCGAAGAUGUUUAGGCUUGUUUAGCAGAAAUGAGGAUAAAGAUGGUUACAGGCUGUUUUGCAAGAAAACGCAUCAAUUAACAAGAAUGAGUAAAUGCAUUGAAAGAAAGGAAGGAGCAAAGUAUCAAAUGUGUCACAAAAAGACACUCCAAUAGAAAGAAAUACAAGAGAGAAACAAGCUUGUAUUACAGUCACAUUAAUGUGUUUGGAAGGUAUUCCAUGUUACCAUCGGCAUUCCAUUUUGUGUUAAUCUCCUGAUCAUAUCUUUUGUUUAAUGUAUUUUGCUAAAAAAAAAAA